GCCGCAUUGGUGUAGUAGCGAACAUUCCCGUUUGUCAAACGGGCGAGGACCGGGGCGGAUCCGGUAUGCGGCGCCA
rnacentral:tRNA from 1 species